rnacentral:rRNA from 1 species
CUCGUAGGGGCCAAGCGUUGUCCGGAUGUAUUGGGCGUAAAGAGCUCGUAGGCGGUUCGACAAGUCGGGUGUGAAAACUCCGGGCUCAACCCGGAGACGCCACCCGAUACUGUCGUGACUGGAGUCCGGUAGGGGAGUGGGGAAUUCCUGGUGUAGCGGUGAAAUGCGCAGAUAUCAGGAGGAACACCGGUGGCGAAGGCGCCACUCUGGGCCGGUACUGACGCUGAGGCGCGAAAGCGUGGGGAGCGAACAGG